CAGCAGAGCCAAAAGCGCGUUCAGCUGCUAAAAUCGCGCCGUCCGCCCGAGUUACCGACACAAAGCAACAGCGCCGCAGACGCUCCCAGCUCUCGGCGGAGGGGCGGCCCGGCCCUCUCCCCGAAGCACGAGUGCCCCCUGCCGCCGCCCGGCUCCCGCAGCACUCACCCGCUUCUCCUUGGGGGUGAUGAGGGCCUCCUUGUUCUCCUCCGUCACCAGCACGCAGGUGCUGUAGGAGGACUGCAGCAUGUUGAUCACCAGGGAGUUGGACAAGACAUCCAGCUUCUUCACUUCGUCCCCAGUCACGUUCACAGUGCCUGCUAUGCCGAACCUGGGGAGAAGGGAAAACGUCUGAAGGGGAUUUUUAGAUAACCACAGGAGCUGCAGCUAAUAGGCCAAGAGUUCUGACAUCCCUUUGCAUUCCUUUUUUACACUCCAUAACUUCUCACUAUUUUCCUAAGUCCCUCUUACCCCUUGUGUGAUACAUCUGAAUGCAAAGAUUUUCUACUUUGGAGGUCAGCGGCUCCAGCCCCAGGAUCACAUCCUGGCAGAUUUGAAGAUCUCCAAAGAAGACUCUUCAGCCUCUCUGGGCAAUUAGAGCCAGUGAUUUGUCACUGCACACAGAAUAUUGGCCAGCAAAAAGGAACUACAAUCAAUCAAGAAGUAUAUGCAGCCCAGUAAACAUAAUUAAGAUCAAAAA